rnacentral:rRNA from 1 species
UACGUAGGGCGCAAGCGUUAUCCGGAAUUAUUGGGCGUAAAGAGCUCGUAGGCGGUUUGUCGCGUCUGCCGUGAAAGUCCGGGGCUCAACUCCGGAUCUGCGGUGGGUACGGGCAGACUAGAGUGAUGUAGGGGAGACUGGAAUUCCUGGUGUAGCGGUGAAAUGCGCAGAUAUCAGGAAGAACACCCGUGGCUAAGGCGGCUCUCUAGUACGGUACUGACGCUGAGACGCGAAA